rnacentral:tRNA from 1 species
GGAGAGGUGACCGAGCGGAUCAAGGUGCGCGCCUGGAGAGCGCGUUGUCCCGUAUGGGGCACGUGGGUUCGAAUCCCACCCUCUCCGCCA